rnacentral:rRNA from 1 species
AUUGAACGCUGGCGGCAUGCCUUACACAUGCAAGUCGAACGGCAGCGGACCUUCGGGUGCCGGCGAGUGGCGAACGGGUGAGUAAUGCAUCGGAACGUGCCAUUGAGUGGGGGGAUAACGUAGCGAAAGUUGCGCUAAUACCGCAUAUUCUGUGAGCAGGAAAGCAGGGGACCGCAAGGCCUUGCGCUCUUUGAGCGGCCGAUGUCAGAUUAGCUAGUUGGUGAGGUAACGGCUUACCAAGGCGACGAUCUGUAGCGGGUCUGAGAGGAUGAUCCGCCACACUGGAACUGAGACACGGUCCAGACUCCUACGGGAGGCAGCAGUGGGGAAUUUUGGGACAAUGGGGGCGAACCCUGAUCCAGCCAUGCCGCGUGAGUGAAGAAGGCCU